UAUGUGAUCGUCUCUCGCAUAUCAAUAAGCGGAGGAAAAGAAACUAACAAGGAUUCCCCUAGUAACGGCGAGUGAAGCGGGAAGAGCUCAAAUUUGAAAUCUUAAAGGGUUCCCUUUACGAAUUGUAGUUUAAAGAAGUGUUUUCUGUUGAGGUUUUGGUAAAAGUUCUUUGGAAUAGGACAUCAUAGAGGGUGAGAAUCCCGUAUUUGACCUUUACUUUCAACUUUGUGAUACACUUUCAGAGAGUCGGAUUGUUUGGGAAUGCAGUCCAAAAUGGGUGGUAAAUUUCAUCUAAAGCUAAAUAUUGGCGAGAGACCGAUAGCGAACAAGUACCGUGAGGGAAAGAUGAAAAGAACUUUGAAAAGAGAGUUAAACAGUACGUGAAAUUGUCAAAAGGGAAGCGUUUGACACCAGUGUUGUUUUUCUGAAAAUCAAUUAAAGAACUGUUUAUGCUAAGUUGUUUAGACUUUAUCAGCUAACUGUUUAGUUUUGAGCUUUUCUUUAAUGCACUUUUCAGUUAACAAGUCAACAUCAAUUUCUUUUGCUGUAAAAAAGCUUGAGGAAGGUGGCUUGAGAUUCGUCUUAAGUGUUUAUAGCCUCUUGCCUAUGCAGUCGGAGAGAUUGAGGGUCUGCAGCGUAGAUCCUUCGGGGCUAAAUGCAUUUGUGCUAAGUCAUAGCAUUUUAUAGACAACUUGUUGACUAUGAUUUGUCUUGUAGCUUACUCGCUUAUGUUAUUUUACCUACGCUUAGGAUGUUGACGAGACUGUCGAUCUC
rnacentral:rRNA from 1 species